rnacentral:sRNA from 1 species
UCCUCAGGAGGGAUCGACAUGUUUUCGGACCUUGGACCACUACGCCUACAAUUGAAUGACCCAAGCCUAGAGUUGAAAGAUCCAAACCUUGAAUUGAAUGAUUGAAUACUCGAAAGUUGUCUGCUGAAUGCUCGGCCAUUACCAUAGGGUCCAUACAUGUCCUCCAUGCCUAAUAUUGUCGGCGAGCAUGGAGACGAUCCUUGAGAAUCAGUAUCAUCACCAGCCUCACUUCUGAAAAAUUUUGAGUAUUUCCUCAUUAGAUUGUACAGGUAUGACACAACAUACUCUUUCCGCUUAUCUUCAUCAGAACGAGCCUUCUCAAUUAGCUUCUUCAGGGCCCUUCUCUCAGUGAGUGCUGCCCUGGAAGACGUAAUUCCCAGCUUUAGUGCAGCCAUAUGAAAAACCUCAAGCUCCCCACUAUCACUGGAACUAUUCAUUUUCCUGUUUCUCUGGAGCAAAUUGAUCACCUCGUCACCAGCUUCCUUCUCUGAUUGAUCCAAUGUAAAUACCACUUCUUCCAACUCAGCAAUAAUCUCUACAAUCUUACAACCAAUUUCUUCUGUUACUAUGCCCUCCACGCGUCUAAGACUCUCCUGAAGUUGGGUUCUUGCUUUCUCAAAUUUCAAAAGCACAGUUUCUGCACUUACCAAGUAGAGCCUGCUGCAAUCUGCACAAUGUUGAAGAAGACCUUUGGCUUUAUCUAGAGCUACAUGUAGAGAGCAUAGCGCCUGUAUGCCAGAUUUGCUUCUGGGUCUUGAUGCUUCAAUGAAAGGGAAAAUCGCUACAAGUUUUGAGACCGCAGGAUGAAAUGCUCUAUAAAAGCACUGCCAAGAUGAUACCUUAGCAUCAUUAGCCAGAAAAGGACCUUCCUCGGCCUCCAUUGCAUCCAUGGUUAAUUACCACCAGAGCUCCAACAUCUGAUUACAAAGA